GGGGAUGUCCGGUUUCGACGGGGGUCUGUGAGAUUUUGGGAGCCAUCCGCGGGUUGGGCCGCGUCAUCAACCAAACCUAAAUAUAAACGCUAACAACAACAAUAACGCUUACGCGUUCGCAGCCUGAGGCUGUCAUCCCGCCCGAAGUGCCCACGACUUCGGAUACGGGGUGUUAACCGGAUGUGGGGAACGGCCUGCCCUAAGCUUUGCGGGUAGGACGGUAUCAUGAAGCUACCGAGCUGUCUAUCCUGUCGACGGGAGAUUCGGUGAGGGAAUAACAAAACAUCGACUAUGAUGGUAGCCGCCCGGGGUCAAGCGACUUUCGGACAGGAGUUCGAUUCUCCUCAUCUCCACU
rnacentral:tmRNA from 1 species